rnacentral:rRNA from 1 species
ACGGCUCAGUAACACGUAGUCAACCUAACCUAUGGACGGGGAUAACCUCGGGAAACUGAGAAUAAUACCCGAUAGAUCAUGAUACCUGGAACGGUUUAUGGUUCAAAUGAUUUAUCGCCAUAGGAUGGGACUGCGGUCUAUCAGCUUGUUGGUGAGGUAAUGGCCCACCAAGGCUAUAACAGAUACGGGCUCUGAGAGGAGGGGCCCGGAGAUGGGUACUGAGACACGGACCCAGGUCCUAUGGGGCGCAGCAGGCGAGAAACCUUUGCAAUGUGCGAAAGCACGACAAGGUUAAUCCGAGUGAUUCCUGCUAAAGGAAUCUUUUGUUAGUCAUAAAACCACUGAUGAAUAAGGGGUGGGCAAGUUCUGGUGUCAGCCGCCGCGGUAAUACCAGCACCUCGAGUGGUCAGGAGGUUUAUUGGGCCUAAAGCAUCCGUAGCCGGCUGCUCAAGUUUCCGGUUAAAUCCACACGCUUAACGUAUGGGCUGCCGGAAAUACUGUUCAGCUAGGGAGUGGGAGAGGUAGACGGUACUCGAUAGGUAGGGGUAAAAUCCUUUGAUCUAUUGAUGACCACCUGUGGCGAAGGCGGUCUACCAGAACACGUUCGACGGUGAGGGAUGAAAGCUGGGGGAGCAAACCGGAUUAGAUACCCGGGUAGUCCCAGCUGUAAACGAUGCAGACUCGGUGAUGCAUUGGCUUGUGGCCAGUGCAGUGCCGCAGGGAAGCCGUUAAGUUUGCCGCCUGGGAAGUA